rnacentral:rRNA from 1 species
UACGUAGGGGACCGAGCGUUGUCCGGAAUCAUUGGGCGUAAAGAGCGUGUAGGCGGCCAAUUAAGUCCUGCGUGAAAUCUCGGGGCUCAACCCCGAGCGGUCGUGGGAAACUGGUUGGCUAGAGUGCGGGAGAGGAGAGUGGAAUUCCUGGUGUAGCGGUGAAAUGCGCAGAUAUCAGGAAGAACACCCGUGGCGAAGGCGGCUCUCUGGAACGCAACUGACGCUGAGACGCGAAAAGCGUGGGGGAGCAAACAGG